GACGAACCGUGCGAACGUUGUUCGGAAUCACUGGGCUUAAAGGGCGCGUAGGCGGCCCGCCGCGUCCGGGGUGAAAUCCUCCCGCUCAACGGGAGAACGGCCUCGGAUACGGGCGGGCUGGAGGGGGGUAGGGGCACGCGGAACUGUGGGUGGAGCGGUGAAAUGCGUUGAGAUCCACAGGAACUCCGGUGGCGAAGGCGGCGUGCUGGACCCCAUCUGACGCUGAGGCGCGAAAGCCAGGGGAG
rnacentral:rRNA from 1 species